ensembl:lncRNA
GCAGAGAUAUAAAAGGGGCUGGUUUAUGAACAGGGGAGUCGGUUCCGCUGUUGUUCCACACGAUACGGAAGUGGCUGGUGUGGCGUGGAUGUUGUGAUUUACGGGCUGCAACGGAGAAUCCAAGGAAAGGGGAGAUUGGAAGUGCGGAGGAAGUUAAGUGAUCAACCUUUUGUAUGUUGUGUUUACAUCUUAUUGUGGAUUGAACUGAAGGAGCGAUCCUAUGUUUGGAAGGCCCCUGAGUGAAGGAGAUCAUUGAAUUCGUAUUGGGAGAGGACAACACUGUGUACUGGUGGGUGAAGACUUUAUGAACAUUCCUUGUAUAUUGUGGAGAGUGGAUGACGGAUGUGGAGGGAGACUAACUGCCUUUAAGAAAGUGUUCCGACUGCAUAUUUCUCCGUAGCAGUGGGUAAUCCCCCCCCCCCCCUCUCUUGUGUUGAUCUAAUAAUCCUCAGUGCUUGUGUGUUUACUCAGUGUUGAUAGUAGUGCCUUGCGUUGGAGAUCGCUGGGAAAGACGGAGAGACUCCGGUGUACGAUAUAUACGCCUGCUGUGGUCUGCCCCCUGCCUUCGUCCAUCUGACACGCCCCGCCAGGACUCUGAGCCCGAAACGGGAAUACACCACGGAUCUUCUUUCACUGAGUGUGUGGAGUGCGGUGAGUGCUGCUAUAUUGAAGUGUACACACGAGAAGAAUUGUAGUGCCUUUGUGGUGUGUGGUGUUUGUCCGUGGUUGUGUCCCCGGUCGUAGGAAGAGGCCUGACAGAGAGGAGCAGUGUAUUGGUGGCAACCACAGUCUUUACCUUAAGUAAGCUGGAGCUUGGACGUGUUGGAGGCGCCUCUGGAGGAGCAACCACCGGCCUUGUGCGUGUCGUCUGUGCUGUCUCUUUGACGAGGGAAGCGAAGGACAACAGCCGAUCCUCCCCCGUGUGCCCCCUUGCCAAGCUGGGCGGGAAGCCCAGUAUUGUUUGCAGUCUCACCUGUAAGGCCCACCAGCCGUCAGUCAUCGACCAAACCCGUAUCUGCUUGGAAUACCGACCUCUGAAUAUCUUCAGUGAACCCCUGCACGCUAACAGCCCAGCCCUGCGAAUACCCACCUGUGUAUUGAAUUCUGUACUUACCUGUGAGCUAGAACCCCUGCACACUAACAGCCCAGCCCUGUGAAUACCCACUUGUGUAUUGAACGCUGUACUUACCUGGGAGCUAGAACCCCUGCACGCUAACAGCCCAGCCCUGUGAAUACCCACCUGUGUAUUGAACUUUGUACUUACCUGAGAGCUAGAACCCCUGCACGCUAACAGCUCAGCCUUGGGUCUUGAAGUCCACCCCCCCCCCCCAGAGCCAGAAAGUCCCUGCACGUCAACUGCCUAGCUCUUGCUUUAAACUUACCUGGAGUGGAGUCGGCUGGAAAUUAAGGGCUGAAGUGGAGUGUGUCGAGGAAGGGCUGAAGAGGAGUGUUAUCGAGGACUGGAAUCCGUAUCUGUGGACAAAAAUAGUUCGAGUCAUUAGUAGUUUUAAAGUUUCCCCUCCCCUUUCCCC